UACGUAGGUGACAAGCGUUGUCCGGAUUUACUGGGCGUAAAGAGCGCGCAGGCGGUCGUUCAAGUCGAGUGUGAAAGCCCCCGGCUCAACUGGGGAGGGUCACUCGAUACUGAUCGACUCGAAGGCAGGAGAGGGUAGUGGAAUUCCCGGUGUAGUGGUGAAAUGCGUAGAUAUCUGGAGGAACACCGGUGGCGAAGGCGGCGUUCUGGACUGUUUCUGACACUGAAUAACGAAAGCCAGGGGAGCAAACGGG
rnacentral:rRNA from 1 species